rnacentral:tRNA from 1 species
CGGCCUGUAGCUUAACCGGUAAAGCCCCGCUCUUAUAAAGCGGCAAAAGCCCGCGCCCGAUAAGCGCGUGAUGAGGGUUCGAGUCCCUCCGGGCCGA